ACAUCUAUGCAUUUCCUGUUUGAAUUCUAAUGUUUCAACUUUCAUGACAAUAUUUCUUUUUUAAACAUAGUAUAAUGCCGCUUUUAGAAGGAUUAAGUUAUAGUAGUGAUAAAAAUGUCAUCGUAUUUGAAAUUGGAGCUGCAUAUACAAGAUGUGGACUAGCAGGAGAAGCAGGUCCCCGUUGCAUUGUUCCAAGUCAAGUAAAGAAUAAAGUUACUGGAAAGGUUGAAAAAUUAUGGGAUUUUGAGACAGUUGAUCAACUGUAUGAAAACUUGAAGGACUUUUUAUUUAAUUUAUACUUCAGACACUUGCUUGUGAAUGCAAAAGACAGACGAGUUGUAAUUUGUGAAUCAAUAUUGUGCCCUUCAGCAUUCAGAGAUACCCUUGCCAAAGUCUUAUUUAAGCACUUUGAGGCCUCUUCUGUCCUGUUUGCUGUCGGACAAGUAGACUGUUUGUUGGGGCUGGGAACCCACACCGGACUGGUGGUCGAUGUCGGUUAUAACGAGACCGUUGUUCUACCUGUAUAUGAAGGAAUUCCUGUAUUAAAAGCUCUACAAUGUGUGCCACUGGGAGGAAAGUCCAUUCAUAAGAGAAUUGAAUCUCAGCUAAAAGAGACAGGAAAAAUUACAACAGGAAGCAAGGAGGAAGAACCAUUGUCCACAGUGCCAGAUUGUUUAAAUGAAGAAAUAUUAGAGGAUAUUAAAGUGAGAUGUUGCUUUGUAACAAAUUUACAACGUGCCAGUCAAAUACACAAGGUCACGCUACAUGGAGAGGACCAGUCAAAGCUCCCUUUACCACCUCCUGGUGUUAAGUACCCUCUGGAUGGGAAUCGUCUGUUGCUGGUGAAUGGAGGUGUCAGAGAGCACAGUUGUGAGGUUUUAUUUGAACAAGACAAUGAGCAACAGUCUAUAUCUACCAUAAUUCUGGAUGCCAUUAUCAAUUGAUUAUUGGAGGUACCUCCAUGCUGCCGGGCUUCCAUGACAGGCUGUGUGUAGAGUUGUACCAUCUCCUUAAAAACAACAAGUAUCAGAACGAGCUGUCCAUCAAACUAUUCAAGUUCCACAAACUUCUGACCAAAGAGAACUGUGCUUGCUGGCUUGGAGGAGCCAUGUUGGGAGCCCUGGAAACCCUGCCCAGCAAGUCUAUCUCCCGGGACACCUACCUACAGACUGGGAAACUUCCCGACUGGUGCUGUCUGUCCGAGGAAACAGAGGAGCAAGAGAAGGCCACAGCAAGGAGCUAGUGAGGACAUGAGGACCUUGUGAGAACGUUACUGAGGACACGAGGAGAUAGUGAGGACAUGAAGUACUAAACACAACCAGAAGAAUCCAGCUGCCAAGAAAGUUUAUCAUUUUCAUUUGAUGGGUUGUGGGUUUUAAGAACAUAAAACAAAAUUAUGUGCAAUAAAUAUUAAUGUAAAUUGU
rnacentral:misc_RNA from 1 species